GUGGCAUGUGCAUAUAAUCCCAGCUACUCAGGAGGCUGAGGCAGGGGAAUCACUUGAACCCAGGAGGAGGAGGUUGCAGUGAGCCAAGAUUGUGCCACAGUACUCCAGCCUGGGUUACAGAGCAAGACUCUGUCUCAAAAAAAUAAAAUAAAAUAAAAUAAAAUGAUACUAGACUGGGUGUGGUGGUUCAGGUCUGUAACCCCAGCACUUUGGGAGGCCAAAAUGGGAGAAUCGCUUGAGCCCAGGAGUUUGAGACCAGCCUGGGCAACAUAGCGAGACUCUGUCCUACCAAAAACAACAAAAAAAUGCGACUGAUAGUACCUACCACACCUGGCAGGUGGUGAGCUAUUAGCCAAUGGUGGCUGCUGUUCCUAUUGUCAUUAGCAUCACGUGUCUGGCCUCCUGCCCUUAGAGUUGUAAGCCCUGAAAAAGGACAGGAAUUGCUCACUCGAGGAGCUCGGCUUUUAAGACACAAGUCUCCUGAAGUUCCCGGCCGAAUAAAGCUCCUUCCUUCUUUAACCUGGUGACUGAGGAGUUUUGCCUGCGGCUCGUCCUGCUACACUGCUAUGCCUCAGCCCUUGACCUCUGGGUGCCCGCUGCUCCAUGCUGUGCCCCAAAGGGGGCAUAUUCACAUUAUCUCAUUAAAUCCUUACUUCAACCCAUUUCCAGAUGAGAAAACUGAGGCUCAGAGAGAUUGGGCUCUCACCUAUUCAAGGCGACAUGCUUCAGGGAAGUGGUGAGCCCAAAGCUCAUUCCACUUAGACCAGCAGCCUCCCAAUGAGUGACUGAAGGGCAAGGCCGAGGCAUUUGUGCUUUGAGGCUCUACUUCUGUAUCCAGGUCAGACCCAGAAUGCCACGGUGCUGUAUAAAUGCUCAUCAGUCCAGGCUGGACCGCUCAUGCCCAACUAAGGAACCUGCCCUGCAAAUGGAAAACCAAGAAACAGGGCCAAAAAGAUAAAUGUUGCCAAGUUGCAAUGGCAAGCAAGCCAGAUUUGGGCAAAACCAAACCAGCCACUGGCCAGGUGCGGUGGCUCAUGCCUGUAAUCCCAACACUGGGAGGCCAAGGCAGGUGGAUCGCUUGAGGUCAGGAAUUCUAGACCAGCCUGGCCAAUGUGGUGAAACCCCGUCUCUACUAAAAAUACAGAAAUUAGCUGGGCAUGGUGGUGGGUGCCUGUAGUCCCAACUACUCGGGAAGCUGAGGCACAAGAACCACUUGAAACUGGGAGGUAGAGGUUUUGGUGAGCUGAGAUCGCACCACUGCACUCCAGCCUGGGUGACAGAGAGAGACUCUGUCUCAAAAAAAAAAAAAAAAAAGAAAACUAAUCCAGCCAGCAGCAUAGAGCUGCCACUACAAACCCCAGGGACGCCCACUCUUCUACCUCUAGGCAGCCUCCAAAAAUCCCCUCUACAGGUUGCACACCUGCCCACCAGAGCAGGGGGGAAGCCACAAAUACCCCUGGACCAGCAUGUCCAGCCCUGCAUGCCUAGCUCAGCAGAGGGGGCCCCAGAUGUCCUUGAGGGACUGAACUCAAUUAUUCUGUUCCUUCCAUGGCCCACAGGGCCCACCAGAUCUGGUCCCACUCCACUUCUCCCACCUCAUCUCCUUUUUUUUUUUCUUUUUUUUUUUUUUUUGAGGCAGAGUCUUGCUCUGUUGCCCACGCUGGAGCUAGAGUGCAGUAAUGCACGAUCUCUGCUCACUGCAACCUCUGCCUCCUGGGUUCAAGC
rnacentral:lncRNA from 10 species